rnacentral:rRNA from 1 species
AGACCCGAAACCCGGUGAUCUAGCCAUGGGCAGGUUGAAGGUUGGGUAACACUAACUGGAGGACCGAACCGACUAAUGUUGAAAAAUUAGCGGAUGACCUGUGGCUGGGGGUGAAAGGCCAAUCAAACCGGGAGAUAGCUGGUUCUCCCCGAAAGCUAUUUAGGUAGCGCCUCGUGAAUUCAUCUCCGGGGGUAGAGCACUGUUUCGGCUAGGGGGCCAUCCCGGCUUACCAACCCGAUGCAAACUGCGAAUACCGGAGAAUGUUAUCACGGGAGACACACGGCGGGUGCUAACGUCCGUCGUGAAGAGGGAAACAACCCAGACCGCCAGCUAAGGUCCCAAAGUCAUGGUUAAGUGGGAAACGAUGUGGGAAGGCCCAGACAGCCAGGAUGUUGGCUUAGAAGCAGCCAUCAUUUAAAGAAAGCGUAAUAGCUCACUGGUCGAGUCGGCCUGCGCGGAAGAUGUAACGGGGCUAAACCAUGCACCGAAGCUGCGGCAGCGAACGUAUCACUUAAAGCGAUUCAGCGGGUUACGAUUGACGGAGCGAAGCGACGUCAAAGCGUAUACAAAGUCGAGUCGGUUUAAGGAUACGUUCGUUGGGUAGGGGAGCGUUCUGUAAGCCUGCGAAGGUGGCCUGUGAGGGUUGCUGGAGGUAUCAGAAGUGCGAAUGCUGACAUAAGUAACGAUAAAGCGGGUGAAAAGCCCGCUCGCCGGAAGACCAAGGGUUCCUGUCCAACGUUAAUCGGGGCAGGGUGAGUCGACCCCUAAGGCGAGGCCGAAAGGCGUAGUCGAUGGGAAACGGGUUAAUAUUCCCGU